rnacentral:rRNA from 1 species
UGGGGGAUAUUGCACAAUGGGGGAAACCCUGAUGCAGCCAUGCCGCGUGUGUGAAGAAGGCCUUAGGGUUGUAAAGCACUUUCAGUAGGGAGGAAAGGUGGUGUGUUAAUAGCACAUUGCUGUGACGUUACCUACAGAAGAAGGACCGGCUAACUCCGUGCCAGCAGCCGCGGUAAUACGGAGGGUCCGAGCGUUAAUCGGAAUUACUGGGCGUAAAGCGUGCGCAGGCGGUUUGUUAAGCCAGAUGUGAAAUCCCCGGGCUCAACCUGGGAAUUGCAUUUGGAACUGGCGAACUAGAGUCUUGUAGAGGGGGGUAGAAUUCCAGGUGUAGCGGUGAAAUGCGUAGAGAUCUGGAGGAAUACCGGUGGCGAAGGCGGCCCCCUGGACAAAGACUGACGCUCAGGCACGAAAGCGUGGGGAGCAAACAGGAUUAGAUA